UGCGUAGGCGGAACUUUAAGUCAGUGGUGAAAUCCUGCGGCUCAACCGUAGAACUGCCAUUGAUACUGAUGUUCUUGAAUGCAGUUGAGUUAGGCGGAAUGUGUAAUGUAGCGGUGAAAUGCUUAGAUAUUACACAGAACACCGAUUGCGAAGGCAGCUUGCUAAACUGUGAUUGACGCUGAUGCACGAAAGCGUGGGGAGCGAACAGGAUUAGAUACCCUGGUAGUCC
rnacentral:rRNA from 1 species